GUGCUUGGAAGCGGCGCUUCGGCGCAGUGAGCGGCAGAGCUCAAAUUUGAAAUCUGGCCCCUCCGGGGUCCGAGUUGUAAUUUGCAGAGGAUGCUUCGGGUGCGGCCCCUGUCUAAGUGCCCUGGAACGGGCCGUCAGAGAGGGUGAGAAUCCCGUCUUGGGCAGGGUGCCCGUGCCCGUGUGAAGCUCCUUCGACGAGUCGAGUUGUUUGGGAAUGCAGCUCAAAAUGGGUGGUAAAUUUCAUCUAAAGCUAAAUACCGGCCGGAGACCGAUAGCGCACAAGUAGAGUGAUCGAAAGAUGAAAAGCACUUUGAAAAGAGAGUUAAACAGCACGUGAAAUUGUUGAAAGGGAAGCGCUUGCAACCAGACUCGGCCUCGGGGUUCAGCCAGCAUUCGUGCUGGUGUACUUCCCCGGGGCCGGGCCAGCGUCGGUUUGGGCGGCCGGGCAAAGGCCCCAGGAAUGUAUCGUCCUCCGGGACGUCUUAUAGCCUGGGGUGCAAUGCGGCCAUCCUGGACCGAGGAACGCGCUUCGGCACGGACGCUGGCGUAAUGGUCGCAAACGACCCGUCUUGAAACACGGACCA
rnacentral:rRNA from 1 species